rnacentral:tRNA from 1 species
UGUGGGGAGGAUUGGUAUCCCAGUUGGUCUCAUAAGCCAGCCUUUGUAAGUUCGAUUCUUACCCCCUCAA